rnacentral:misc_RNA from 1 species
CAAGCCGCGGUAAUUCCAGCUCCAAUAGCGUAUAUUAAAGUUGUUGCAGUUAAAAAGCUCGUAGUUGAAUUUCGGGAUCGACGGGUCGGUCGCGCCUCUGGUGUGUACUGGCCCUGUCGGUUUCUCCCUUCUGACGAACCACGAUGUCAUUAAUUUGGUGUCGUGGGAAAUCAGGACUGUUACUUUGAAAAAAUUAGAGUGUUUAAAGCAGGCAUUCGCUUGAAUACAUUAGCAUGGAAUAAUGAAAUAGGACGUUUGAUCUUAUUUUGUUGGUUUCUAAGAUCGACGUAAUGAUUAAUAGGGAUAGUUGGGGGCAUUAGUAUUCAAUUGUCAGAGGUGAAAUUCUUGGAUUUAUUGAAGACUAACUACUGCGAAAGCAUUUGCCAAGGAUGUUUUCAUUAAUCAAGAACGAAAGUUAGGGGAUCGAAGACGAUCAGAUACCGUCGUAGUCUUAACCAUAAACUAUGCCGACUAGGGAUCGGAUGAUGUUAAUUUUUUAAUGACUCAUUCGGCGCCUUACG